CCUACGGGAGGCAGCAGUGAGGAAUAUUGGUCAAUGGACGAGAGUCUGAACCAGCCAAGUAGCGUGAAGGAUGACUGCCCUACGGGUUGUAAACUUCUUUUAUCAAGGAAUAAAGUGAGGCACGUGUGCCUUUUUGUAUGUACUUUAUGAAUAAGGAUCGGUUAACUCCGUUCCAGCAGCCCGGGUAAUACGGAGGGUGCGAGGGUUUAUCGGAAUUACUGGGCGUAAAGCGCUCGGUGGCGGUAUGUCAAGUCCAGGGUGAAAUCCCCGCGGUCAACCUGGGAACUGCCUUUGAAACUGGCGAACUUGAGUGUGUGAGAGGAUAGUGGAAUUCGAGGUGUAGGAGUGAAAUCCGUAGAUAUCUGGAGGAACAUCAGUGGCGAAGGCGACUAUCUGGCACAUAACUGACGCUGAGGAGCGAAAGCGUGGGUAGCGAACAGGAUUAGAUACCCGUGUAGUC
rnacentral:rRNA from 1 species